AACCCGAUCCCAUCUCGAACUCGGCCGUUAAACGCACCAGCGCCCAUGGUACUGUGUCUCAAGACAAGGGAGAGUCGGUCGCCGCAG
rnacentral:rRNA from 1 species